rfam:Treponema maltophilum ATCC 51939 genomic scaffold aczIZ-supercont-complete, whole genome shotgun sequence.
GGGGGUGUAGCUCAUCUGGCUAGAGCGAUUGCAUGGCAUGCAAUAGGUAAGGGGUUCAAGUCCCCUCAUCUCCA